UAUGUGAUCGUCUCUCGCAUAUCAAUAAGCGGAGGAAAAGAAACUAACAAGGAUUCCCCUAGUAACGGCGAGUGAAGCGGGAAGAGCUCAAAUUUGAAAUCUUAAAGGGUUUCCCUUUACGAAUUGUAGUUUAAAGAAGUGUUUUCUGUUGAGGUUUUGGUAAAAGUUCUUUGGAAUAGGACAUCAUAGAGGGUGAGAAUCCCGUAUUUGACCUUUACUUUCAACUUUGUGAUACACUUUCAAAGAGUCGGAUUGUUUAGGAAUGCAGUCCAAAAUGGGUGGUAAAUUUCAUCUAAAGCUAAAUAUUGGCGAGAGACCGAUAGCGAACAAGUACCGUGAGGGAAAGAUGAAAAGAACUUUGAAAAGAGAGUUAAACAGUACGUGAAAUUGUCAAAAGGGAAGCGUUUGACACCAGUGUUGUUUUUCUGAAAAUCAAUUAAAGAACUGUUUAUGCUAAGUUGUUUAGACUUUAUCAGCUAACUGUUUAGUUUUGAGCCUUUUCUUUAAUGCACUUUUCAGUUAACAAGUCAACAUCAAUUUCUUUUGCUGUAAAAAAGCUUGAGGAAGGUGGCUUGAGAUUCGUCUUAAGUGUUUAUAGCCUCUUGCCUAUGCAGUCGGAGAGAUUGAGGUCUGCAGCGUAGAUCCUUCGGGGCUAAAUGCAUUUGUGCUAAGUUAUAGCAUUUUAUAGACAACUUGUUGACUAUGAUUUGUCUUGUAGCUUACUCGCUUAUGUUAUUUUACCUACGCUUAGGAUGUUGACACACGCGCGUGCUCG
rnacentral:rRNA from 1 species